CAUUUCAUAUCAAUCUUCUCUUCAUUUCCUUUCUCCCUCUUCUCUCCUUUCUCUUUCCUCCUCAGCGGCGGAACUCUUUUUUACAAUCUUCUUCUUCUUCAUUCACUGAAUCACUGUCCAAUUGAUUAACAAUAAGAUUCAAGAAUCCACUGAUGAUAACAAAGAAGAAAAUCUUAGAUCAUUUUCUUAAUCUACAGUAAAUCACGACGACAAAGAUGAGAAAACAAAUCGGAAGUGUUGCUGAUGCGGUAUUCUUUGCUGAAGAUGGUUACUCAAUUGUUGGUUUUAAGGUUACAGAUUAGGGGGUUUGUUUUGUUGGAUUUAGGGUUACAGAUUAGGGGUUUGUUUUGUUAGAUUUAGGGUUACAGAUUAAUGGUUUCUCUAUGGUGAAAACGGGGACUACUUUGGUUUGUAUGAUUUUGUAGGUGAUGCCCAAGUUCUUGAAAGGUUUGGAAGCUCGGGAUCAAGGUUACUUGUUCUCAAGAGACUGAAUCACAUUAUUGAAAGCCUAGUAGUAUGACAGAAGAAAGUUGCUCAAGAAGCCACUAUAACCUCAGCUGCAGGAGAAAGUAUUAUUGAGCUUAAGGUCAAGACCUUGGGUUCACAGAUCUGUAAACUCCGUGUUGAAAAAAAAUGUGUUGAUGAGCUAAAAAAUAUACAGAGAAAGAACUGAUAGACGCCAGGUGUAAACUUGUCCUUUGUUGAUGAGCUAAAAAGCAUUUCUGUGGCUUUAUGUCGGGUGUAAACUUGAAACGAGUGUGUUGUUGCGGCUUAGGAAAUUAAUAUUUAAACAAAUCAGUUCUUGGUAAAGCAACAUAACUGCAGUGCAAGGUUUAGAAGCAACAGAACUGCAGCAUGUACUCUGUGCAGGUUAGUGUCCAAGCAUCGAAAAUGCAAAUGUGUAAUACCAAAGGUAGAAGGUUACGCAGUUGGUGGAGUACAAGUAUUGGUAUUGUAGAUGGUUAUUGAAUUAACAGUAGCUGCUGCAAUGUCAUUUUUAUCCAGACAGGCCCAUAUGUACUUACUUUCCAUAAUCGUCUCUGAUGUAAGAAACAUAAAAUGUGUGGAUGAAACAUGACAUGAUGCUGCAUUAUAGAUGUUACUAAUUGUCCUUAUUGAAGUUGGGCUUGUUUCUGUUUGGUUGCAGCUCACGAGUGUUUUCUUGAUCCUACACAUGGCAAAGGAUCAGAAGAUAGAUGAUGGUGGUCUUUGGAGCAGUUGCAGUAUAAAAUGUAUGUGUGGAAUAUGUAUGAAGAGGUUGGAGAACUUUAUCCAUGUUUUGAAGUUAUGGUGAGGUUAGGGAUUGUAGAUGUGAUAUGUAUGAAUUGCGGAUUGAAAGAGAAUAGAUUGCAGUUGUGUUUCAGGUUUAAUUGUACUGCAUGUUUGUAAACUAGAAAAUCCAGGUGCAUGAUGGUAGAAUCUGUGUAGCUUGCGGUUUAUUUGUAGUUCAGGCCUGUAAACUGAGAGUGCAGGUCCAUCAUCGUGACCUGUUUCGCAGGCCUGUAAACUGGAAGCCCGGAUCCAUGAAAAUCUGGGCUACCCAUUUUUUUUUAA